rnacentral:lncRNA from 12 species
GCCGACGGAUAUUGUUUUGCGUUUUUUUUCCUUGUUUGGAGUCCAGCGUUUCCCCUCGCUGUAGAACCCCCCAAGUCUUCGGGCUGCCGGUCAGAGCCUGCCACGGGGAUCCGCCAGAGCCGGGUUGCCCUGGGUGCGUGACUCUGCCCCUCGCCCAUCCCGGCCGAGGACAGGAGGGAUAGGACGGUGAAUGAAACUCCUGAUCCUCCACUCACUAAGUCAGCGCUUCUCUGCCCGGUCCCCAGCUGAAAGGCGGCGGAGUGUCCCCAGCCCCGCCGCUGAGCGUGUCGGCGAUCACCUUAAGGAGGGGCUGGGGCUGUCCCGGCGCUCAGGCCACCGCCGCACCCCCUCCCGCGCCUGCCAUCGGGCCGUGAACUUUCCGGUGGGGUAUGUUCUCCUUUAAGAAAGCGAACUGUUCCUUAUGCAUAUUUAAGGCUGUUUGUCUGCAGUGCCCAGCUGACACGGGGCUGGAGGCUCACACGCGGGACCGAGCUCUGGAGGAGUAAAUCAUCCCCACUUUAAACGCACCCUCUGCCAGGGCUCCAGUUGGGAGCUCCUUCCCAUUGCUCUAAACACAUCCUAGGGGUUCCUGCCUCCCUCAGCACUCCUGCAUCCCUAAGAUCAGUGAGUUCUCCAGACUUCCUCCCUCUUUCUGCCCUGCACGAGAGCGCUUUGCUGGGUGCGCGUGUGAGGAGCGGAGAGGAGCGCCGGGAGGGAGAUUGGGACAAUAGCUGGAGUGGAUUAUUCAUUCCCGUAGGCAAUACUUCCCUGUAUGGGCUUCAGGAUGCAGUUGGAAGCUUGGGAACAAAGCGGGCAUCGAAUGUCAAGGCUCCUUUUGAGGAAGAAAUAGUUCUGCUGGAACCCCAUGCCUGGACUUUGGAGGGCAUGGCGCAGUGGUCUGAUAUGAAAGCACUGUCCCUGCAGAUGGGAACUCGCCUCUGUAUCCUGUGCCUUGCAAGAAAGGCAGCGAGGGGACACUUGAAGUAACCAAGCAUCUGGCAUCAAGCCUGACAAUCCACUUCACACUAUGUGAAGGAAAGUUUGUUCCAAACCACAUACUUUGUGGUGCUCAAUACUGGUGUCAAACUGGUCUGAACUGUCCCAGGUCUAAAAUAAAAUCUCCAUUGUGGUAUGGAACAGUGAACUUGUCUUGCUAAACCUUCCCUGUUUAUGUUGAAGGUACAGAGCUGAUGUAAUGUCUUUUCACCCACGGAUGGACGCAAUAGGAACAAUUCAGAAAAGUUCUGUUUAGCUUUCUUCCCCUUGUAGCUGAAAAAAAUGCAAGCUAUAAGAAAC